GCCAGGCAUGGUGGUGCAUGCCUGUAAUCCCAGUGGCUCAGGAGGCUAAGGCAAGAGGAUUGCAAGUUUGCCAGCCUCAGCAAAAAUGAGACACUAAGCAACUCAGUGAGACCCUGUCUCUA
rnacentral:sRNA from 1 species